rnacentral:rRNA from 1 species
GACGAACGCUGGCGGCGUGCCUAAUACAUGCAAGUAGAACGCACAGUUUAUACCGUAGCUUGCUACACCAUAGACUGUGAGUUGCGAACGGGUGAGUAACGCGUAGGUAACCUGCCUGGUAGCGGGGGAUAACUAUUGGAAACGAUAGCUAAUACCGCAUAAUAUUGAUUAUUGCAUGAUAAUUGAUUGAAAGAUGCUAUUGCAUCACUACCAGAUGGACCUGCGUUGUAUUAGCUAGUAGGUGAGGUAACGGCUCACCUAGGCGACGAUACAUAGCCGACAGGAGAGGGUGAUCGGCCACACUGGGACUGAGACACGGCCCAGACUCCUACGGGAGGCAGCAGUAGGGAAUCUGCGGCAAUGGACGAAAGUCUGACCGAGAAACGCCGCGUGAGUGAAGAAGGUUUUCGGAUCGUAAAGCUCUGUUGUAAGAGAAGAAAGGGUGUGAGAGUGGAAAGUUCACACUGUGACGGUAUCUUACCAGAAAGGGACGGCUAACUACGUG